rnacentral:rRNA from 1 species
CCUACGGGUGGCUGCAGUGGGGAAUAUUGGACAAUGGGCGAAAGCCUGAUCCAGCCAUGCCGCGUGUGUGAAGAAGGCCUUCGGGUUGUAAAGCACUUUCAGUGGGGAAGAAAGCCUUGGGGCUAAUACCCUCGAGGAAGGACAUCACCCACAGAAGAAGCACCGGCUAACUCCGUGCCAGCAGCCGCGGUAAUACGGAGGGUGCGAGCGUUAAUCGGAAUUACUGGGCGUAAAGCGCGCGUAGGCGGUCUGAUAAGCCGGUUGUGAAAGCCCCGGGCUCAACCUGGGAACGGCAUCCGGAAACGUCAGGGUAGAGUGCAGGAGAGGAAGGGUGAAUUCCCGGGGGAGCGGGGAAAUGCGGAGAGAUCGGGAGGAAUACCAGUGGCGAAGGCCGGCCUCUGGAAUGACAAUGACGCCGAGGGGCGAAAGCGUGGGUAGCCAACAGGAAUAGAUACCCGAGUAGUC